rnacentral:lncRNA from 1 species
AAGAGUUUCCGCCCAGGUGACAUUGUCUUGGCCAAAUGCUGGGAUUACAGGUGUGAGCCACCACGCCCAGCCUGAUUCUCCUUAUAUAAAUCCAAGGAAACGGGACUCACUUCAUAAGUCAGUAGAAUGAACAAAGUUUUUUCUUUAUGAGUUGAGGUUCAGUAGGAAGCUUGGUGGCACUUCAGCUUCAUACCCAGCAUAAAAGAGGAGUCGCAGGCAAAUCUUUGGGGUCUGGGCUCCACCACCAGCUUUUCCCUUCCAGGUAUCCAGAUGGUUCCCAUCAGCUGGUGUGAGAUGCAGUGCCCUAAGACCCACACUAAAGAAUUCCGGAAAGUAGCCCGAGUACAACCCGAAUUCUUGCAGACCUAAGAAGCCACUUUUUACCCUAUGGAAGGGGGUAAGCUGUUCCUGAGUAUAACACCAAGAUGCUGCUGUCUUUAUUCAAACACCUGGCGUCGGCCAACAGCCACUUCCAGAAAAAUCUUCCAGUUUACGCUGUAGAUGGAACAUGUUUCUGUGAACCUAUCAGUGGAUUUCAUUCUCUUGAGUAAUAAAUCUUAUCUUUUCAAGGCACCAACAAACAAAACUGUGAUAUUGGAAAUAGCCUAUCCCUCCUGACAGUCCUUAUAAAUACAUAUUUUUUGCUAUGAUAAAACUUUUUUACUAAAAGGAUGUUAUAGAGUCUGUUGUCUUAAGCAGAGAAAGACAUCUAAAUGGUGUCAGGACAUUUCAGUACUUCUGCUUAUUGAGUACUUACUGUGCUAGGCACUGAGUCAGGU